AAUCCUUGCGAGAAACGGUGCCGGGCGCGCACGGGGAAAGGGGGGAGAGAUCCCCGCGAACAAAGAGCCACCAAAGCCCUCGGAGCCCCUCGGCCGGGCAGGAGGGCUGCUUUCGGGUGCCGGGUGCUUCGAGCUCAUCAACUGGAGCUCAGCAUGAUCAGAAGACGGUUUCAGCUCUGCACACUGCUUUGCACAGACCCAACUGGCUGUGCAGUGUGCAAGCGAGGACCCAAGAUCUGAAGAGACUGUUUAGACUACAAUAAUAAUAUCUGUUUUCUAUGGUGGAGGAUGAGACAUUUCUCACAGAAAUCCGCUCAUUUUAUUUUCACCAGAAAUGUUUGCUUGCUUGUUUGUUUCCCAUCCACAGGAAAUAAAGAGAAAAAAACCACGUUGCUUUUCCUGGAUUAAGCUUUGAUUUGAGAUAAGGCUUUACGAGAUCUUGCUAUUUCCAUUUUUAAUCACCCUUGGCGAACUCAUUGGUUGUAAAUCUGAAACGACCUGAGAUCGCGUAAACACCACCAGCCCAAGCCUGCAGACCCAAGCCAUCAUUAUUGCCCUCGCUCUGCUCCCUUGCAGGGGAAAGCACGGGAGCAGGAGGCUGGGCUCUCCCUGCCUGAGGAACAACCGCAGCUUGAUGCUUAAUUGGGAAGGAACCCAAGCAGCUGCUCCACCCCAGGUGCCGCACCCCAGGGUGGGACGAGGUUCCCCUGGGACCCCCGCCCGGUGCCUGCCGAGCCCGGUUCUGCCCUGGUCCUGCUGGCAGCAGCAGGUAAGGGCAGGGUGCAGCCCCAGCAUCCUCCUGGGUGAAGCCCUGCAGCCCCCUGGCCUGAACUGGGAGGGAGGAGGGAACAGGGGCCAGCAAAAGAGGCAUCGCUCCUGAAGCACAGCGCAGACCUGGGACUGGGGUCUCCUCUGUGGGGCAAGUGGACACACGGAGCUGCCUUCAAAAGGAGUCACCACAAGGCCUCAGCCUGGCUCUCCUCCACCUGUGUCUCCACAAAGGUUAUGCCUGAGAAGAUCCAUGAGGCCAGCUCUCCACGUGGAAACCGUGAAUGGGACCAUGGCUGGAAGUAGUGUCCUCCCAGCUCCCCAAGGGCUGUGGGGCAGGGGACCAGUGUGCUUCCAGCAGCAGCGGGGUUGUCUCCUUCAGAGCUUGUUGGGAGGGCUCGUGCCCACAUUGUGAGGGCCUGCUGACGUCUGUGUUCCCAUCCACUCAGCGCUGGGGUAGCUGUUUAUCCACCACCCUUCAUCAAUGAGGUUUAAGGGCAUACCUUAGAAAGGCAGCACAUGGUGCUUUCUGCAGCACUGAGAGUGAAGGGGAGAAACUUAAAGCCAAUGGGAAGGAUUUGCAUUAGCUCUGCUGCCAAGAAGUCUUUCCUAAACUCUCUCCUUCAAUAAUAUCUGGGUCAAAAUAAUACUGACUCUAUUAAAUCUUCAAUUUUCUUGCUUUUUGUGUAUCAACACUAGGACAAAGCAAUUACAGCCCCCAGAGACACACAUGAGUGAAGUGAGUGAGGCAGAGAUAUUAGCGUUGCUUUUGUCCUUCCCUGCCCUGUCCUCCGCCUUUGUUAAUCUGCAUGUGCAAAUUAAACUGAAAUUAAACUCUUAAUUUAUCAUCUUGUUGUGGUGACAGCAGGCAGGACCAGAAUGCUUUACAAACACGUAGCACCACAUUAACAUCAGAAACAGAUUCUUCCCUGAGAGAGGGGAAGAUUUCAAAGAAUGCGGAAAGAUACCACAGGGCUGUAAUCCCUCUUGCUGUACAGAAAACAACCGAUUGUUGUUGAAACCCUUGGGGGGGGGGGGGGGGGGGGGGCAGGGAUCUGCACAACACAUGUAGGCUACAGCUUUUCCACCAUCGAGAGUGGAGAUGGGAAAUUUGAAAUAAACAACCUUGGGGGUGGAAGGAAAAAAAAAAAACAACCCACACAAAAAAAAUACAUGGCAAAAGGGAAAAGAUACUGCAUGGUAAUAACUCAAUGUGACUGUCCACAGAAGUGAACUGCUCUGAGGACCAGCCCUCUGGAUGCAGACUAUCUCUGCUACAGCAGGCUGCAGGCUCUGCCCGUGUCCCCACGCUGUCUUCACCUGCCGCCACCCGUUGCUGUAGGGCACUGAGCUGCCCCUCUUCACCUCAUGGGGUGCUAGCAGAUAGCCCGAGAUCUGCCAGGGCCAUCUGUAUGGACGCCCUGCGGUCCUGAUUUAGCAAAGCACUUAAACACAUGCUUAAGGGAUUUGCUGAAUUGGAUGCUGCUCUCUCCACUGGCUCCCUCCACGUCUCCUGGCUCCCUGACCGCUUGGCUCCACCACUGCUUUCUUCACCCUUUAGGAUGCUUCCACUGUCCAAAGCUGGACCACUCUCCUUCUCCACAGUGCCAGAGGUGCCUCACAAGAAUUUAUCUUUGGUUUUGCUACCCAGAAGAAAAAGAAGACCCUGGCGGCACUGCGUGCUCAUAAAACAAAAGAGAAGAAAUAAAUUAUGAAAAAGAAACUUACGGAGACAGGGAUAGUUCAUUUGAUUCUUGCAAUGAGGAGGGGACAAAUUACUGCAGGGAGCAGUGACUGAGAGCAUGGAAAUGAUGAUCAACCACUCUGGGGCAUGUGCGGUCUCUCUCUGCUCCUUCAUCUCAUGGAAACAUGUUUCUAUGUGCAUGUAUUCAGCCACGGCCACACACAGACGGAGAGCUAAGUACCACCAGCCUAGGUGGGAGCUGGAAACUUGUGCAAGGAGGUGAAUCAGAGGCAGGCUACUUGUCCAGAAAUACUCUGUGCUGGAUCCCCAUCUCCAGCUGUGUCCUUUUGCCGUCAGACCAGCGGCUGCCUCCUCCUUCCUCCCCAGCCCAGCAGCACCAGCAGCAUGGCAGGGACACGGCUCUGGGCCCAGGGACCACUGCGGGCAUUGCUGGGCCAGCACAAGGGGGUGGAGAUGGCCAAAGACAAGAGAAGAAAGGGGGAAGCUGGGAAGCAGAUUAUCUGUGUAUUGACAGAACUGUUUAUUUGCUCCUGGCAAAAAUAAACCCCAGCGUAUAUUCCCUCUAACGUUUUCAUAUUUAUAAAAAUGGAAAGCCUAAUCUGUCACCAAGACCCAUUAUCCCCUGACCUCAGUCAGACAGUAUAUCUUAUGGAAUUAGGGAAUGUAGUAUUUUUUAUGAGGACAGAAGGGAAAAGAGAUGUUUACUAUUGUACCCUUCCUCUAUUUAUUAGUGUCUGUAACUACCACCAACAUCCAAACGAGGUAUCUUGUGUUUUAGCCCUAGCGGGACUAGACAAAUAAAUAAGUCAAUAACAUCUAUUGGAAAAUAAUUAGAUUGCCUUGUUCACCACCACCUGUGAGGGGGAGGCAUAGCUCUGUGAUGCGGUGCACAGUGUUUCUGGUUUUGAUGUGUCGUGCCGUUUAUCUUCAUGCUCCUAGGUGGGAAGCAUGCCUAUUAGCUUGGUUGUACCUGCACUAAGUUUUGAAAACAUUUCUAAUGUGUGCUUUAUGCCUUGCCUGAGCUCAAGCAUCCUUAAGUACUUCCAGUCUCCUCAUAAAUACACCUUUGUAUUCUGCCUAAUAUAUAAACAUCACGACCCAUGUCUGAGAAUGUUGGGAAUUUUAUUAGGUUCAUAAAGUUUUAGUUGCGGUCUAGCCCAAUGGGUCCAAAAUAAAUAAACACAGAGAGCAAAAUGAGUAACAAUUUCGUACCUAUUUCUUACCCUCCCCCUGGAGAGUUUCCCCAGGACCUGUGAAGUACUUGCUGCUGUGGUUUCUGUGGCUUGCUAUCAAAGUAUCUGCGAGGCAGCAAGCAGGAGGCAGUUGCAGAGGCAGAGAUGAAAGCUGGGAAAAGCAACUGAA